AAGAUGCCACAAACAGGGCUUGCAAAGUAUAACUUCCUGCUUGAUGUUUAUUGGACACAUUCUAUCAACUGUAGUGGACCACAGACAGAGAUCAGAGAGGUACCUGGUGGAGAACACAUCAGACCAACUACUUAACUAUUUGUCAGUACAGUUAGAAUCAUACAGUAGAUAUUACCAUUAGGAGUCAGUUAGAAAGGUAAUCAUACAGUUAGGUCAGAUGGAUGACUACAUCAACAACCAGGUAACUGAAGAAAAUGAGAACAGAGCAACGAGGAGAGUGAAGACUGAGACCCAUCGCUCAGGACCUGAGGAUUCAGGGAGAAGACUCUACAGGAUGGUUGCUGUGAGCUUUGGGAUGCUGUGUUUUCUACAAGUCACUCUCAACAUCUUCCUGAGACUUGUCUAUAACAGAUGCAUCAAAGACUGAAGAGAAGCAUUUUUCUCUUUAUAAAACCAAUGCAGAUGCAGAGAGAGACCAGCUACAGACCAGUUACAACAACCUGACUAAAGAGAGAGACAGGCUUCAGAAAUUGCUUUGUGAGAAACCCUGUUGUUUUGAUGGAUGGAAGAAGUUUGACUGCAGUUGUUACUUCCUCUCUACUGAGGAGAAAACCUGGGAGGAGAGCAGACAGGACUGUGUAGACAGAGGAGCAGACCUGGUGAUAAUAAACAGAAGAGAGGAACAGGAGUUUCUCUUCAAUCUCAACAAGAGAGUCUGGAUUGGUCUGACUGACAGAGAGACAGAGGGGACCUGGAAAUGGGUGGAUGGAACAACACUGACCACAGAGUACUGGUAUGACCCACAGCCUAAUAAUUCAGGUCCUACUGGGGAGGACUGUGCUGAUAUAAACAACGAUCAGCGUCCUCUAAAGGCCUGGAAUGACUCGCCAUGUAACAGGAGACUCAACUGGAUUUGUGAGAAAGUGGUUUAACAUCACCAUGACAACAUACUGUAACACAUACAGUAGCCUACAGUGCACACAACUCUCUCUCUCUCUCUCUCUC